rnacentral:rRNA from 1 species
AUACGUAGGUGGCAAGCGUUGUCCGGAAUUAUUGGGCGUAAAGCGCAUGUAGGCGGUGGGAUCAGUCUGUCGUGAAACUGCGGGGCUCAGCCCCGUAUGGCGAUGGAAACUGUCUUACUUGAGUGCAGGAGAGGAAAGGGGAACUCCCAGUGUAGCGGUGAAAUGCGUAGAUAUUGGGAAGAACACCGGUGGCGAAGGCGCCUUUCUGGACUGUGUCUGACGCUGAGAUGCGAAAGCCAGGGUAGCGAACGGGAUUAGAUACCCCGGUAGUCCUGGCCGUAAACGAUGGGUACUAGGUGUGGGAGGUAUCGACCCCUUCCGUGCCGGAGUUAACGCAAUAAGUACCCCGCCUGGGGAGUACGGCCGCAAGGCUUAAACUCAAAUGAAUUGACGGGG